rnacentral:rRNA from 1 species
CAUUACCGAGUUUUCGGGCUUCGGCUCGACUCUCCCACCCUUUGUGAACGUACCU